ACUAAUAUCCAGAAUCUACAAGGAACCCUUGUAACUCCUGGAGCACAAUGGCAUGAUGGUGGAACAUUCCUGCAGCUCUGGAAAGUUGUACAUUGAAAUGCUUUCAAGUAUGGUGGGCCUACAUCUCCUUACAAGGGUCAUAAGUGCUCUGUGCCAAGAACAAGGAUGACAACCAAAGUAUAUAAUUAUAAAACACAACAUCAAAAUCUUAUACCGUGUGUAUUCUUGGACUAAUGAAAGGACUCAUGGUCAGGCAGGAUCCAUCAGGCGCCACUUCAGUGUUACCUUACUGCGACAUCCACAUCUUGAGUGGUGACAGACUGUCUUCUCUGGAUCUUCUCCAGUAGAAUCUGAUUGUCCCCUCACAGGUGAUGAAACUUUCAUCAUGUUCUACCCCAGGGGUCCCAAACUCAUACCUACUGGAGCCCACCAAGUAAUGUGAGUAAGUGAUGUCUCAGUGAGUGAGGCUGUGAGUUAUGGCGACCACUGGGAACUGGAAGAAACAUACUCUUUGGGGGCAGCUGCUAUUUCUCACCAUUGAAUUGCUGCAACGAGGAUUUUUUGAAAGAAGCCAGAAAGCCACAUUUUCUGUGAAAUUUUCAGAUUAAAAAAAGAAAUUCUCUGUAGGCCAAACUCAACACAUCUGUAGACCAGAUCUGUCCCACUCAUGACUGUUGUACAAUCUCUCUGUUCCACAAUUUAUGAAGUACAUUUGUAUUCUUAACAUUUACAAAAAGCCCUGGGAGGUCUUUUCAUUUUCCAGAAUAGGAAAUUAGCCUCUGAAUAAGUGGUCUCCUGGUCAUCACUCAGCUGUGAAUGAGACAGCUAGAGCUCAAGCCUAUCUCCCUUUCCUAACUGUUAUAUAAUUGAAGGUCCUUGUACUUUCAGUUACACAAGUUUCCUUCCCUUUUUCAGGGGUAUGGGCUAUAUGAGCCAAGAAUAAUGUGCUAAAAGUUUGGCACUGCUUUCAGAAAAGGUCUGUUUAUCAUGAGAAGUCGGUACUACUCCAGUUAGAAAUGGCUGAAAGAAGCUGUAGGGCUUCUGUGUGGAGGAGAAAAGAAAGUUCAGAUUCUAGUUAAUCAGGUCUAUAAAAAUGGCUCAACAUGGUAAUUGCCUUGUUCAAGACCUGAUCAAAGUGGCUCUGGAGGUCCUUAGAAAGUGAGGGAUGUAGGCCUUUAAUUAAAACUCUUUAGUUUUUUCACAAAAUGUACAAUAAUUACAUGGAAAACUCCUGCAACUAAGACAUGAGUGCUAGGAUUCUAUAUCACUUUACAAAUGAGUCAUCCCAAGUGGGGUUCCAACACCCAGGAGAAAGCCAAACCCUGACACUCCUCCAUUCUUCCUCUUUGGGCAAUUACUGUGUUGGUUCAGGUUCUCUUUUCUCUAAUGAUCAGACACCAGGAUGGAUUAGACAUGCAUGAUUUGGGGAGAUGCCUUUGAAAUAUAGAGGAGGAAGGAGCAGUUGAAGGUAGGGAGAGUCUUCAAACCAUCAUGCUGAUCUGAUACAUGUGAAAGGACAGAGGGAAGGAAGAAGUUUUGGGCAGGAAGAGCCUCAUAUUACAGUGCAGUUUGACAAAGUCCUGACCAGGCUGAUGAGUAGUCCCUGAGGCAAACCUGCCUGUUGGAUGAGACCUGCAUCAGGCAGGCAGAAUGGGUCUAGCUUUAGCACUCCUGCUGUGCUCUAUCAUUGCCUGGGCUCCCGCUGAUCAGUUAAUGCCAUGGUAGAUCCAAAGGAGCAGCACUGAGGUUGCUAGUCAGCUGUGCUCCCUGCAGCUGGUUUCUAGAUGGGACAUCUGAGUGGGAUAUUUCCAUGACCACCACAUUCUCCUUGCCUGAUUACAACCCAGAUGACCUCACAAUACAGCUAGAGCUUGCUCUUAAAAUGAGGAAAGAGGUUUGGUGGAACCUCAUAAAUAAUCAUUUUCUUUCUUGCCUGAGUCCUUAAACAAUAUAACCACAGAACAAAAGUCAGCAGAUGGUGGCUAAUGUAGCAUCUUUCCUACUGAUAAACCAGACAUUGGAGAAUGUGACUUAUAUCUGCAGACAGAGUAAUUGCUGGAAGCUGCCCUAUAGCCAGUGCCUACCCUUAAUCUAGAUGAAGCCAUGGGAUUACCUUUGCUCACAGAUGUCAGCGGAACUGAGGACUCUUCCAGGAAAGAAGAAACCAGAAAACAUCACCUUUUCUCCACACCGAUCCCCAACUUCCACUUCCGUACUAUAGAAGCAAAACUGAUUAGGCUGGCUAAUUUGAAGAGAAAAAGACUAUAGGGGCUUUGUGCUUUAGAGGUAGAAGAGGGUAAUAGUCAGGUUCACUCUGACAAAGCCCACUAGAGACGGUAGACCCACUUGUAGACAUGGCUACCUGGAUACCCAAGGAGAGCAUUAAUCAUCCCAUCCCACGUCUGAGCUCAGUACUGGGGGAGGGGAUAAUCAGGUCUCACCAAAGUUGGCAGCCUUCUACUGCAUGUGUGGGCAAAGACCAACAGCAGUGGUGUUGGUGGUGGAAGUUGAUCCAAGUCAAACGGCAACAAGAUAUGUUACCGGCAGUGAAUCCAUAUGGGUCUGCAGCAACCUCAAUUCUUGUCUCCUGAGAGGAAUGAAUUUGAGGGGCAUAAGGCAGAAAGAGCUCUAGGCAAGCUUUAGAGCAAGAGUGAAAGUUUAUUAAGCUUUAGAGCAGGAAUGAAAGUACACUUGGAAGAGGGCCAAGUGAGCAGCUUGAAAGACUAGUGCACAGUUUGACCUAGUUUGACCUUUAUUUUAUUUUAUUUUUUCUUUUGAGAUGGAGUCUAGCUCUGUU